CUUGGCUCAGGAUGAACGCUAGCUACAGGCUUAACACAUGCAAGCAGGGGCAGCAUUGGGAUAGCUUGCUACUCCAGAUGGCGACCGGCGCACGGGUGAGUAACGCGUAUCCAACCUUCCCCAUAGUAGGGCACAGCCCGGCGAAAGUCGGAUUAAUUCCCUAUGCAGUCCAGAGAGGACAUCUGACCUGGACGAAAGAUUCAUCGCUAUGGGAUGGGGAUGCGUCUGAUUAGGUUGCAGGCGGGGUAACGGCCCACCUGGCCGACGAUCAGUAGGGGUUCUGAGAGGAAGGUCCCCCACAUUGGAACUGAGACACGGUUCAAACUCCUACGGGAGGCAGCAGUGAGGAAUAUUGGUCAAUGGACGGAAGUCUGAACCAGCCAAGUAGCGUGCAGGAAAAGACGGCCCUAUGGGUUGUAAACUGCUUUUAUCAGGGGAUAAAGUGAGGUAUGUAUACCUUUUGCAUGUACCUGAUGAAUAAGGACCGGCUAAUUCCGUGCCAGCAGCAGC
rnacentral:rRNA from 1 species